UGUUGCCUUUUCCUGCUACCAUCAGCACAGUUAGAUGGUACGUGAAGUCCCUUGGGCGUGUUAUGGUGAAUAGAACCCUCAAAAACCUUUUAUUUUCUCUUCUCUUUACAAGACAGCGCAUUCUCUAUUCUCAAGAUCAUCUUCGUGAAAGUAUCCAUGGGAUGACUGCUGAAGAAACAAGAGGAACUAACAGAGAAAAGCAAAGGAAGUAGGACUGCACUCUACCUGAAAAGCUGAUGUCCUAAAUGACUGAUGUAGAAGCAGGUAAGCAUAAAAGAAUACUGGAUACAGGACCCCAAACCUCCAGUAGACCAAGAGAAAGAAGUUUAAACCCUUGCAAAUACUGGGCCAAAUACAGCCAUAUCACAGGCUAAGUCAAGUCUACACAUGCCAUUGGACACAGCUAAGAAGAAAAUGAGCUUCAGCCACUGUGCCUUUCCUCCGUUCUCUGAAAGGGCAGAGGUUCUGGCAGACAGAACUUUUAGCAGAUUCAAGAGGGCGAAUUUGACAACAAUUCACAGUGAGUAGACGCACAUUAAAGCAAAGGAAAUUUGUUUGCUUUAGGUAAAGAGUGGACAGUUUCACUGCUAGUGCUGAGGACAAGUUGUAUUCAGAAAACAGCCUCGUUUCCUUUGCCUUGUGUCUUGUGCAGAGGCUGCUUGCUGUACAUGGACUGUGAAGUUUAUGGCUAUGGGGAUUUUAGAACUAGAAGCAUCUCUGACAACCCAGUUGCAUUGUUUUUUUCUCUAUUUUAACAGCAGAUCUUUUUCAGUAGGCGGUGUGAAAAGAAUUGUUUUCAAUUAUUCUUGGCUACAUUUUUUCCCACAGAUUCUGACUUAAUUAGACUCAUUAACAAGACCAAGCAACAUAUUGUCUGUGGGAAAAGAUUUCAGAUGAGAGAAGACUGUUAUACCAUUUUAUUCAAAUCCUUCUGCCAGGAAAAAGCAACUUGACCAAAACAGGGAGGCUUCCAAGAAGUGGCUGCAUU
rnacentral:lncRNA from 1 species